rfam:Myotis brandtii contig261326, whole genome shotgun sequence.
GAGACAAUCUUCUGGGGCAAGACUUGCUUCAGUGGGGCUUUGGUGCCCACUGAGUCUGCUCCCUAAGUGUGUCCCU